CGAACGCUGGCGGCGUGCUUAACACAUGCAAGUCGAACGGGCCUGUCUUCUUUUUUGGGGGGUGGGUUGAGUGGCGAACGGGUGAGUAUCACGUGAGUAACCUGCCCUUCGGUCCUGGAUAACCGCUUGAAAGGGCGGCUAAUACGGGGUGGUCCGGUUGGUCCGCAUGGGCUGGUCGGGAUAGAUUCACUGUUUUUGGUGUUUCGGCGGGGGAUGGGCUCGCGGCCUAUCAGCUUGUUGGUGGGGUGAUGGCCUACCAAGGCGGUGACGGGUAGCCGGCCUGAGAGGGUGGGCGGCCACACUGGGACUGAGAUACGGCCCAGACUCCUGCGGGAGGCAGCAGUGGGGGGUAUUGCACAAUGGGCGGAAGCCUGAUGCAGCGACGUCGCGUGAGGGAUGGAGGCCUUCGGGUUGUGAACCUCUGUUUCCGGUGGUGAAGGCCCUGUCCGUGUGGUGGGGUUGACGGUAGCCGGGGAUGAAGCGCCGGCUAACUACGUG
rnacentral:rRNA from 1 species